CCGCCGCUUCCCUUCCUCUCCUCCCCGGCUCCCCGCUACCGCGCUCUUCCUCCUCCGCCGGAGCUGCGCCCCCCCACUCUCGACACCCCUCCUCUGCCGCGGCACAGGGCCUCCUCCGCCGCACAGCCGGGCCACGAGCCACGGGCCUGCGCGCUCGGCCCUUCCUCCACAGCGCCGCCUCCGCCGUGCGCUCGGCAGCCCCUCCUCCGCCGCGCUGGCGAGGUCAGGCGCAUGGCCGGGCGGCGCACGAGCAAGCGUGGCCGCGGGGCUGCCGGCGUGCGUGCGAGGUAGCGGGAGCCGCUCCUACUCUCUGUCGCCGCGCUCGCUCCGCUGGAUCCAGAUCUGCCCACUCCUGCUCUCCUCCUGGCCACGGGCUGGCCCCGGCGGCGGCUGCCGUCCGGACGCACAGCACCGACAUGGCGAGGCUGGCCGCGCUGCGCGAGCGCACAGACAGCUCGAACAGGCGGCGCUUGUCCCCCUUCGCAACCAGGAGGCGGUGCAGCCCCGCCGCGGGCACGCGGAGCGGUAGGGGCUUGCCCACUCCGUCGUGCACCACUCCGACGAGCUCCUGCCCUCCUCUUCCUCUGACGACGAGGGUGACGGCGCCUGUGAGACCGAGGUCACGGUCACCUUCAUGGAAACAAGUGGCUCCCUCCUCCAAUCCUACGACAACGAGGGCGAGUGCAAAGAUGAGGUUGAGGAGGAGGACGACGACGAUGCUGCCAUCUUGCAAGUUCUUUUGGGAUUCACUCAGAUCAAUCCAAACCAAUCCGAGCUGAAUCGCUCUGCAGCCGCUUCCUGCUGAUUGUGCCCAAGGAGUAAGGAGGAGCUGGAGCCAUUGGAGUUGAUCCUGUUCCUGCUGGAGUAGCGCACUGGUUCUACAAGGACAACUCCGUCGAGCACAAGCCCAACAUCAAGUCCCUCUCCUUCAACUUGGAGGACUUCACCUCCCUCUAGCUCCCUUGCUCUCAGGCCCUACAUCAUGCACCUGGAUGACAUCUACAAGGGCUUCAACAACUACGAGUUUCGCAUCCCUGUAUCCAGCGCCAUCACUAGAUGAAACCUAUGAGUGGCUAUGUUCCUCUCUACAAUUUCAGCUACAUAUAUACUUGAUGGCUUCUCCUAAAGGUUCCGUAGACAGAUAAGUUUGUUCCUUCCAAUUUUCUCUUAAUCUGAAUUACUUCGAUUAUUUGUUCUCAGAUGUAGCCAAUUCAUGUGCAGUUUCAGUUUCGUUGACAAGACAGAGAAGUGUUAUAAUCAAAACAUGUCUCCUGCUAUUCCAAAGGAUAAAUGGAGGAAAGGAUCUCAGUGGUAUUUUAUUUCUGUCCAUACAACUAUUUAGGACGUGGAGGCAAUAAUUCAUUGUGCAGAGUGGCUCUCACUGGAGACCAAAGAAUCAGAUGUGGCUGGUAAUUCUGCAACCAAGAUAGAAAAAUGUCACAACUAAGAGGUCUCUCUCACAUAAUAAGAAAAUCGCCAGGAAGCUGCUCCUUGAUGAAGGCACUGGAUAUGAAGAUGAUGGCUGCACAAAUGACUACUAAGCCUAGCCUAUAUCUGUUAUGAGAUAAAAGUAGACAGAUUGAACCACCCUUGGCUGUACUGGAUCAAAUUGUGGUAUCCUUUUCUAAAGUAGGAAACUUUAUAUCAUCUAAUUUUGUGAUUGCAAUGGAUCUUAUGACUGUUAAUUGUUACAUAUUUGAAGAGAGUCUUAACUCCAACACCAGUGUGGAAUUAUAAAAUAUCUGAGAUGUUCAGCAUAUCAUUGCUGCCUUGGCAUAUUUCCUCUUCAAUUAUAUGCUGAAGUGCAAACACUAGAAUUGGAGGAUCAUAAGCUGGGCCCUUCCUGAUUUGUUAUCUGAACUUAUGAAGAUUUUCGUGACCUAUAUAGCAACUUCAUUGUGAUGUCACUAGUAGAGUAUGGAUCUUUCGGAAAGGCAUCGUCAAGUGUGAUGUGUUUGUUCCUUUAACCUAUGUUCUUUGGAGAGAUAAACAUCGGGCAGUGGGUUUGUCAAGCAUUACGAACUGAACUUGCCUCUGUUCUGGACAAGCAGCUAUGAUGCUUGCUCCCUCUGCUUGUAACUUGAACACGAGUUUCUUUCAGCAACAUUCGAUUUAAAUAUUAAACAAAUGCAUAUAGUUAAUAUGUUGAUAAUAUGCUUGCCA